rnacentral:rRNA from 1 species
UACAGAGGUCCCAAGCGUUGUUCGGAUUCACUGGGCGUAAAGGGUGCGUAGGUGGUUGGGAAAGUUUGAUGUGAAAGCUCGGAGCUUAACUCCGAAAUGGCAUUGAAUACUUCUUAACUUGAGGGUCGGAGGGGAGACUGGAAUUCUCGGUGUAGCAGUGAAAUGCGUAGAUAUCGAGAGGAACACCAGUGGCGAAGGCGAGUCUCUGGACGACUCCUGACACUGAGGCACGAAAGCUAAGGGGCAGCAA